AUAAUACAAGGUAAGAAGGUUUGCAUUGCAAGUCAUGCAUAAUUAUAUCACCUGAGGUUAAAAAAUACCAUAAAUAAGGCUUCAUGUGAACUGAAUAUUUGUACUCAUGACAUUUUGUACAACCAACUACCUUUUAACACCUUGGUCUUUUCACUGGACUGUAAGUUGGGGUGCUUGGCAGUAUUUGAAUAAAAAUAUCAGCAUUACGCAAAAAAAAAAAAAAAAAACAUUUUGGGGAAAGAAAUGGAGAUUAUUUGUAACUUGGCUGUUUGGUCCUUCAUUUUUAAGGUAGGCUUGUUUUUAG